CUCAACUCCAGCGAUGUCAGCCCCACUCCCAGCGAAUGGGAGACGGAGGUGGUGUCACCCUCUGUGAUGUCACACAGAGUCAAUGGUGUGACGGGCGGCUUGGACGUUCACUUUCAGGUUCAGGCCUUCACCUCAGUUGGAGGAGGAGAGAGAUCUGACGACACGCAAACAAACACCUCGACUCUCUGGCCGGUCCCGAGGCUGCUGACAUCUGCAGAACACUCCGUUUCCGUCCUCGACCUCGACACCCGCCAGGUGACGGGGACCGUUCCGAUGGGA